rnacentral:rRNA from 1 species
CCCAGACUCCUACGGGAGGCAGCAGUGGGGAAUAUUGCACAAUGGGGGAAACCCUGAUGCAGCGACGCCGCGUGAGCGAAGAAGUAUUUCGGUAUGUAAAGCUCUAGCAGCAGGGAAGAAAAAAAUGACGGUACCUGAGUAAGAAGCACCGGCUAAAUACGUGCCAGCAGCCGCGGUAAUACGUAUGGUGCAAGCGUUAUCCGGAUUUACUGGGUGUAAAGGGAGCGUAGGCGGCGCGUUAAGUCUGAUGUGAAAACCCGAGGCUCAACCACGGGAGUGCAUUGGAAACUGGCGGGCUGGAGUGCCGGAGAGGUAAGCGGAAUUCCUAGUGUAGCGGUGAAAUGCGUAGAUAUUAGGAGGAACACCAGUGGCGAAGGCGGCUUACUGGACGGCAACUGACGCUGAGGCUCGAAAGCGUGGGGAGCAAACAGGAUUAGAUCCCCUCGUA